GGCAGCUGAUUGACGCUUUCCCUGACUGUCAUCAUCCAGCACAGAUGGCACUUCCUGUUUGGUAACACCUCACGUGGGCUUCUUCAUCCCCCCACUGACUCUGCCAGUCACCAUCCUACACAGUCAAAUGUGCACAGUAUUAGAAGUUUGCCAAGAGCACAUCCUUGUGUCUGCCAAGGAGUGUCUGUUAGAGGAAGAGUAUUCUAGCAGACGGUGUUCAGAGGAGAAAUGGACCACCCCAGGAGGCAGCAAACCCCUUGUCUCUGAGUUUCCUCAUUUGACAACGGGAAGAAAGAUACUGACCCACCUUGAAGAAUUUCCGUGAGGACCCAGUAAGAAGACGGGCUGAAAACAUUUCGAAAACCCUACAAAGACCAAAGUUGUCAUUUCAAGAAGGAAUUCGUUCAGCGGCAGAUAAGUCGCCCAGUUUCGAAUCUUGCUUCUGCCUGUCUCUAGCUGCGUGUCCAAGGACGAAACGGAGUAUUUUUUUUUUUUUUGAGAAUUUGUUUUCCAUCUUUAAAAUGGGAGCAAAAGGAAUAUCCACCUCUUAGCAUUUCUGCGAAGAUGGUGUGAAAUUGUGAGCAAGACCAUUCAUUCGCUGAGGAUUCCCUGUUUCUAUCAGCAAUCAUGUAAGCAUGCUGUGUUUGGACCAUGCGUGGACAAGGAUGCCUGUAACAUAAAUGGAUUUGUCUAGGCAGCGGGACUCUGACUUCAGAUAGGAGUGUGUGCCGUGGGCUAGGCUGCCGGCAGGAAGGGAGACAGACCAGAAAAAUCCCCAUGUUUGCUACUGUGGACAGUGAAAGCAGAUAAGUAAAGGGUCCGAGAAGAGCUUGCCUUGGGGGUGGUGGGCAGGGGUGCAGGAGGGCUGGGCCCUUUUGCUACGGGCUUGGGGAGCCGGUUCAGAGCCCGGCGACCUGGUAGGAGGUGGCCGAUCUUGGAGGAAGAGGCUGAGGCCCCCUAGGGCUGGAGGCUAACGGGGGCAGAGCCAGCAUCUUGGGGCUGAGGAGGGGCCCAAGACUCCUGGGGUGGGCAUGCGAGGUUCCUUUGUUUCAGAUGCCCCGUGGACUUCACACGGCACCAGCUGGAGGAACCAGAGACCAUUGGGUGGUUUUCCCCAAAUGUGGAGGAAUCUCUCCCCUCCCCCACCUCUGGUGUUGCUAGACGCUGGGCUUCCUGGGGGUUCUCAUAAACUCAGGAGGCUCUAUAAUCGUUUCCAUAUAGAAUGGUUUCCCUGAAUAGCGAAGGAGGCCAGCUGUAGCUGAUGGAACACAAAACAGCAUGCGCUCCUGGGGGAUAAACGUGAACGCCUAUCCCUGUGCCUGGCACGCCGCCCCCCCCCCCGCCAUCCCCCCAACUCCAGGAGGGAGGAGGUUGCCUAGUGGUUAAGCACGUGGCCUCUGGUCUCUGCACCACACGCUUCAACUCCGGCACGAUUGCUCACCGGUCGAAACCCCAGGCACGUUACUUAAAUCUUGCCGGGUCUCAGUUUUCUCUCCUGUGAAAUGGGCAUGAUGAUAGCCCGAAGAAAGGUUGUGGUCCUCAGGAUUUAAUGAGACACCUGGAAUAGCACGCAGCACGGGUGUCUGGAUGGGCUCACUAACACUAGCGGUUUCGAUGGUCACUGUCCCUGCUUCGGCACGUGCUGCAGGGCUCAGCCCAGUCCCUUGUGGUUUCUCUAUUGGUUUCCAGUGCUGUUACAACAUACCUGAUGUGCUAACCAUCCCCACGUCCUCCGUGCUUGCUAAACUCUCCCCACAACUUGCUUGGGCUCUUUCCUCCUCUGUGAACCCUCCUUGUGAGAGCUGCCUGGCCACAACCUCACCGCUCCUUGGGGUGCUGCCCGACCCGCCCUCCUUCCUGAAAGCGUGCCGCAGACCCGGGAAGGAAUUCGCCACUUCGCCUCCAACUCCCCAGGCUCAGAAUUUCCACGAAUCUCUGUGAGAGGGAGGCAGCAGCACGCAGCACGUCACGUCACGGUGCAGCUCUAGGGUGGCACAGCUGUAGCCCUAGCUGUGUGACCUUGGCUUGCCUGGGCCUCAGUGUCCUUGCGUGUCACAUGGAGACAAUACAAGCAGAGCUUUGUUCACAGGGCUGUGGUAAGACACGUAAAGCAGAGACAAUGCCUCCUGGCACCUAUGAAGGGCUCACAAAAGAUUGGAUAUUUCUAUAAAAAUAAUCUCCAAAAGCCUGGCUUUUAAUGGCUGUGAUAUCUACUGUGUGGGUAGAUCAUAAUUUCAUUAACCAGCCCCUUGUUGUUGGGCAUUUAGACUGCUUCCACUCUUUCACUAUUAUAAAUAAUGCUGCGGUGAACAUCUUGUAUAUAAAUCUUUCUGUUUAUCUCUGCUUCUUUAAAAGAGCUCCCCAAAGAUUGCUUGUCUUAGAACAAAGCCCCUGCCCCCCAGACUUUCCAGUGAUGCCCUUUGAAAUAAAAGCAAAGCCUAUUUUCCAUCAGGGAAAGGAACAUAUGGAACAUGUUAACCAAGAGGUGGUUCAGGAGGAAGGUAGAAAUAGGUUCAAGAUGGGUUUGGAUCCGUUUCAGGAUGUCUGACACAAAGCCAGUGAUACAGCUCCCCUCGAGCCUCCUUCCCGGAGCGAGGCAGAGGCUGAUCCUCGGGGACCACUGACUUCUUUCUUUGAGAGAAUUCCAAAGGGCUUUGAUGUUCUUGGCGUGGGAGAAGCAACAAUGACAGAUCAAUAAACGAAGCCAGAAUGUGUGGACAAUCCGGGACUCCUCCGGCCGGUAGGGGGCGAUAUCGCCUGCUUCUGUCUUCCAGUUGGGCCUAGGGUUUCUCCCUAACAAGGACUUCCUUUGUUGUUGUCUUAAAACUUUGGCUUACGCUUCAUAUAUUUCUCUCGCCUGUUUUCCUUCCUCUCCUCCCACCUACGCACUUUUCAGAAUCACUUUGGGUUGCCAUUCAUUCAUCCCCUUCCUUUGGGAGAAAUGUACUGCGUGCUUCCCCUAGGCCAGACAUCAAGAUUGUGUUCAGACUUUCUAAGACCUAGACGCGCUUGCUCUGGAAGCGCCGACUCACACGGAUCAAAUGUAUUGCAAUUCACCCAUAUUCCAUAUGAGGUAUAUUUUUCAUGUGAAGAAAAAUAAGGAUUAUAUUUUAUAAUGUCACUUUUGAAAUUAUUUGGCUACAAGUAAUUCGUUCCAUCUACGGCCGGCUUUGAUUUCGCAGCGGUUAUGGGGGUGCUCGAGAGUUCUUGCAAAGUGAGAAACAUCUAACCUGCACGUCGUCCUCGAAGACAGUGAAAUGUUUACGAAUUUUUAGGAAUGCUAAAUGAAACCAUUAAUGCGGUUGAUGUAAUAUUCUGUUUUGUGGACGUUUCAGUAAAAUUUUAUUCAUUUCCA